CCAGCUCCUGGCAUCGCCCGAACACUCCAUCUGCAGAAAGACGAGAGGGGAAAGUGAGCAGUGACGAACACAAGACACAGGAGCCGGUUCCCAGCGCCUUCGCAGCUCCGAUGUAAACUGGCUCAGGUGUGGCCUUGUAAACGUGCGCGGCGCCUGCCGAGUCCUCACACCUCUAACUUCCUGUUCUGGGGGAUCUAAUAGCUGACAUUUUCUCCGCUGACAGCUCCGCGAUAAGCAGCCGUUCGUGGCAGGAAGGACUUUAUCUUGGUACCUGGUAAUCUCCCUAUCAGCAGGCCUCCCGCCUUUCUCAAUACAGGUUGCUAGGCAACCCACGCCACCGAGUCCCUAUCAGCCCCACAAUUCAAUGGAUCCUCCAGGUCUGUGAAGGAUGCUGCGGCUCAGGGGGUCACAAAGCGGAAUGGGCCUGUCGGAGGCGGAGAACCAGCAGACGACGCCGUACACUCAGGUUAUUUUGAGAUUCGAGCAGCGCGGAGGAAAUCUUCCCACCUACAGAAGCACAGAUCGACUGACGCGGCGUCGUGUGUCUUUUUCCUCUGCCAACAACGCGUCUCCUCUAAUGCUUUUAUAACAGCAGGAGCGAUGGAGCCGGAUGCACCCUCUUGGCCCGGCGGCCUCCACGGAUGCAAUACGCAGCUCGUGACCGUGAAUGCAGGACAGGCUGAGUAGGCGAAGGUGGUUGGCCGGUGUCGGGGUACCAUCUGUGAUGUCUGACGGGCCAAGAAGGAUGCUGAGCGCCUGGCAGCGAGGACAGCCACUCCCAGAGCCUUCUGCACUUCAGGACAUAUUUCACUCGGUCUCCGGAGCCACCAACAUAUAUUUUAUGAUAUGAAUAAGCAGCUACCAAGGACGUCUGACUCCACACCAGCACUGCCAAAGGAGCCAGUUUAGAGGAGGUGGGCAGUAGAGGUGAGGGUGAAUGGAAAAGGGGACGUGGCCGGAGAGAGAAGAGCAUCACCUGCGAGCAAAUGAGCAUCAGCUUGACACCAUGUCGGCACACUCAAACAGCUUGUGUCAUUAAGGCGCUCUCCUGCUAGAAUUAAAGAUGGCCGCCAGCUCCUCGCAGCCUCCAAAAGGUCCGUUCUCGUCAAACGCUGCGCGCUGCGCGCCCGCUGCUCAACAUUCUCAUCGCAGCACACCCAGAGAUAUGGCCACAGCAGCUGUUUAAAGAAGACGGUCAGAAUUUCCUCGUGUGAUAAAGAACCUUACUUCAUCAUGGAAUGAAGCAAACAAGCCAAUCUAUAUUUUGCACCUAAAGGUUCAACAUGAAGAAAAAGCAGCCAGCGAAUGGACAAAUAGAAUAAAAAAUGGCCUUAGCCUGACACCUCCCAUCAUGUCAGACCUUUCCUUUAAGGCAACGAUGAUCCAUCAAAAGAAUAAAUCUAAACAUCAUUAAUAAUUCGGAGGUCAGUUUGACUGAGGAGGGAAUGAGACAUAACGCGCAUGAAGCCCAUAACCACGUACAUUUCUCAGCGUCCUCUCCAGGUUCUGAUGCAGGCAGGUCGCUCUCAGUCACUCAUCUGCCAGCUCCAGGCGACGACCCAGACAACGGCCAUCAAUUAAAGAUGCUGGCGUCACAGCAGCGACGGAGAGCCCAGAAAUAGGCCAGCUUGACCUUUUGCCUGACCCGCGCUGAAUGAUUUAGACAUUUGAUUUCCCC